rnacentral:piRNA from 1 species
UGGCAGACAUAGUCAGAGGUUUAUUUC